rnacentral:rRNA from 2 species
AUAUAAGUUAUCGUUUAUUUGAUAGCACAUUACUACUUGGAUAACCGUGGUAAUUCUAGAGCUAAUACAUGCUAAAAAUCCCGACUUCGGAAGGGAUGUAUUUAUUAGAUUAAAAACCAAUGCCCUCUGGGCUCUCUGGUGAAUCAUGAUAACUGCUCGAAUCGCAGGGCCUCGUGCCGGCGAUGGUUCAUUCAAAUUUCUUCCCUAUCAACUUUCGAUGUUUGGGUAUUGGCCAAACAUGGUUACAACGGGUAACGGAGGGUUAGGGCUCGACCCCGGAGAAGGAGCCUGAGAGACGGCUACUACAUCCAAGGAAGGCAGCAGGCGCGCAAAUUACCCAAUCCCGACACGGGGAGGUAGUGACAAUAAAUACUGAUACAGGGCUCUUUCGGGUCUUGUAAUUGGAAUGAGUACAAUUUAAAUCCCUUAACGAGGAACAAUUGGAGGGCAAGUCUGGUGAACGCAGCCGCGGUAAUUCCAGCUCCAAUAGCGUAUAUUAAAGUUGUUGUGGUUAAAAAGCUCGUAGUUGAACCUUGGGCCUGGCUGGCCGGUCCGCCUCACCGCGUGUACUGGUCCGGCCGGGCCUUUCCCUCUGUGGAACCCCAUGCCCUUCACUGGGCGUGGCGGGGAAACAGGACUUUUACUUUGAAAAAAUUAGAGUGCUCCAGGCAGGCCUAUGCUCGAAUACAUUAGCAUGGAAUAAUAGAAUAGGACGUGCGGUUCUAUUUUGUUGGUUUCUAGGACCGCCGUAAUGAUUAAUAGGGACAGUCGGGGGCAUCAGUAUUCAAUUGUCAGAGGUGAAAUUCUUGGAUCUAUUGAAGACUAACUACUGCGAAAGCAUUUGCCAAGGAUGUUUUCAUUAAUCAGGAACGAAAGUUAGGGGAUCGAAGACGAUCAGAUACCGUCGUAGUCUUAACCAUAAACUAUGCCGACUAGGGAUCGGGCGAUGUUAUUUUUUGACUCGCUCGGCACCUUACGAGAAAUCAAAGUGCUUGGGC